AUAUAUACAUAUACCAUGAUCAAGAAGAUAGUUUCCCAGGGCAAGGCUUAUCCAUUGCACUCCGAAUGUGCCGACCCCAGCAACUUUCAUAAAUGUGGGAAACUCAAUUGUAUAAUUUGUGGCAGGAGGAGAGGGAGACUGCUUUUGACUCUCU
rnacentral:snRNA from 1 species